AUUGAACGCUGGCGGCAGGCCUAACACAUGCAAGUCGAGCGAGCGGCGGACGGGUGAGUAAUGCUUGGGAAUCUAGCUUAUGGAGGGGGAUAACUACGGGAAACUGUAGCUAAUACCGCGUACCAUAGGAUGAGCCCAAGUGGGAUUAGGUAGUUGGUGAGGUAAAGGCUCACCAAGCCGACGAUCUCUAGCUGGUCUGAGAGGAUGACCAGCCACACUGGGACUGAGCCACGGCCCAUACUCCUACGGGAGGCAGCAGUGGGGAAUAUUGCACAAUGGGCGCAAGCCUGAUGCAGCCAUGCCGCGUGUAUGAAGAAGGCCUUCGGGUUGUAAAGUACUUUCAGCGAGGAGGCGUUACUCGCAGAAGAAGCACCGGCUAACUCCGUGCCAGCAGCCGCGGUAAUUC
rnacentral:rRNA from 1 species